rnacentral:rRNA from 1 species
ACUCAAAGGAAUUGACGGGGACCCGCACAAGCGGUGGAUGAUGUGGUUUAAUUCGAUGCAACGCGAAAAACCUUACCCACCUUUGACGUGGCAGGAAGUUUCCAGAGAUGGAUUCGUGCUCGAAAGAGAACCUGCACACAGGUGCUGCAUGGCUGUCGUCAGCUCGUGUCGUGAGAUGUUGGGUUAAGUCCCGCAACGGGCGCAACCCUUGUCAUUAGUUGCUACAUUCAGUUGAGCACUCUAAUGAGACUGCCGGUGACAAACCGGAGGAAGGUGGGGAUGACGUCAAGUCCUCAUGGCCCUUAUAGGUGGGGCUACACACGUCAUACAAUGGCUGGUACAGAGGGUUGCCUACCCGCGAGGGGGAGCUAAUCCCAUAAAACCAGUCGUAGUCCGGAUCGCAGUCUGCAACUCGACUGCGUGAAGACGGAAUCGCUAGUAAUCGCAGAUCAGCAUUGCUGCGGUGAAUACGUUCCCGGGUCUUGUACACACCGCCCGUCACACCAUGGGAGCGGGUCUCGCCAGAAGUAGGUAGCCUAACCGCAAGGAGGGCGCUUACCACGGCGGGGUUCGUGACUGGGGUGAAGUCGUAACAAGGUAA